AUUGAACGCUGGCGGCAGGCCUAACACAUGCAAGUCGAACGGCAGCGGGGGGUAGCUUGCUACCCCGCCGGCGAGUGGCGGACGGGUGAGUAAUGCCUGGGGAGCUGCCCAAUCGAGGGGGAUACCAGUUGGAAACGACUGCUAAUACCGCAUACGCCCUGAGGGGGAAAGGUGGGGAUCUUCGGACCUACCGCGAUUGGAUGCACCCAGGUGGGAUUAGCUAGUUGGUGAGGUAACGGCUCACCAAGGCGACGAUCUCUAGCUGGUCUGAGAGGAUGACCAGCCACACUGGAACUGAGACACGGUCCAGACUCCUACGGGAGGCAGCAGUGGGGAAUAUUGCACAAUGGGGGAAACCCUGAUGCAGCCAUGCCGCGUGUGUGAAGAAGGCCUUAGGGUUGUAAAGCACUUUCAGUGGGGAGGAAAGGGUGGAAGCUAAUACCUUUCAUCUGUGACGUUACCCACAGAAGAAGCACCGGCUAACUCCGUGCCAGCCGCCGCCGUAAAAC
rnacentral:rRNA from 1 species